rnacentral:rRNA from 1 species
GUUAAAAAGCUCGUAGUCGAAUCUGUGUCGCGCGCCGCCGGUUCAUCGCUCGCGGUGUCAACUGGCGUGUCGCGGGACGUCCUGCCGGUGGACGCGGCUCCGGUCGUUCUCUCGCGUGCGCUCGUCGCUCCGUCUCCUCUCCGGGGGACGGACGGCGUCGUCGUCGGGUGGCGAUCGGGGCGGUCCAACUUCGACAAUCCCACCGCGGUGCUCUUCGCUGAGUGUCGAGGUGGGCCGGCACGUUUACUUUGAACAAAUUAGAGUGCUUAAAGCAGGCCAAAAGUUCGCCUGAAUACUGUGUGCAUGGAAUAAUGGAAUAGGACCUCGGUUCUAUUUUGUUGGUUUUCGGAACC